rnacentral:lncRNA from 1 species
GUCAAUGUUUAUGUGUCAAGAAGUAAAAAAAUACAAACUAUUAAUACAAAUUUCAGUUGAAGUGUAAAAAUAUCUUUAAUAAAUAGGGAAUGUUACAUGAACUGUGAAGUUUAUGUUAUGAAGCAUUGGUUGUAGAAGUUGCCUGUCCAUACCACCCUGUGGAGCUGGUAGAACUUGAAUGAGUCUUUUUUAUUGGAGUGGAAACAAUGGGAGUGAUAUCUGUUAUUAAUGGAAGGAUUCAUGAUAAUGAAGUAAGAAUGCUUUAGUGCAUCAGGACUUAACAAAACCAGCAGGAUUAGCCAGCAAUUGAGAGAUUGGAACUGAUAUCCAUCCUUUGCUUACUUAAAAGAUAAGUCGUAUCGUAUGGUGUUUUAGCUGUUAACUUUUCAUCUUGGAGGCUCUUGCAGUUAAUUAAGGGACGUUAGAAGAACUCCAGAUACAAUUAAAUUGUGUCUGUUCUCAUUGGCUCCAAAAAGUGACUGUUUUUAUGGUCAUAAAGAAAGCGUGAAAGUGCCUUUUUCCAUUGGCAACAAAGACAAUGUGCUGAAGGAGGGAUUUAUGACAAUGAACUGAUUAUCCAACGAGGGAGAAGGAAUAAGAGUUAAUUUUGAUGCUACUGGGAGGCUUGGAAGCAGCUGAAACAACAAACUGUGUGCAGUUGUAUCCUUCCUAGGUUUGGUAUGCUCAUCACACUGAUAGACUUUAGGACGCUACUUUCUACAAUUAAUUAAGGUUGUUCAACAAAUGAGAGAGAAUUAAACUGCAAUUUGGUCAUACUGGAACAGUCAAUGUCUGCAUGGGUGUUGUUUUUCGUGGACUGUAUUCUUGAUUUGCUGUUUUCGUCUUCGCCUUGCAACAUUAUUCAGUUCAUUUUCAACACAUGAGUGAAAGCAACUGGACAUUUAUUUGAAUUUCACUGAAAUAAAGAAUUUUAUGCUACUACAGUAUUCCUCCUGGAGUUGGAUUGCUUUUCCCACCUGCAAACUUUGGAACAUUACAGUUUACAGUUAAUUAAGAUCGACGUUGGAGAAGACAAAGAUGACCCCCCAGUUAAAAU